rnacentral:rRNA from 1 species
CCUACGGGCUGCACCAGUGGGGAAUAUUGGACAAUGGGCGCAAGCCUGAUCCAGCCAUGCCGCGUGAGUGAAGAAGGCCUUAGGGUUGUAAAGCUCUUUCACCGGUGAAGAUAAUGACGAUAACCGGAGAAGAAGCCCCGGCUAACUUCGUGCCAGCAGCCGCGGUAAUACGAAGGGGGCUAGCGUUGUUCGGAAUUACUGGGCGUAAAGCGCGCGUAGGCGGAUAGAUAAGUCAGAGGUGAAAUCCCGGGGCUCAACCCCGGAAUUGCCUUUGAUACUGUUUAUCUUGAGUGCAGAAGAGGUAAGUGGAAUUCCGAGUGUAGAGGAGAAAUUCGUAGAUAUUCGGAGGAACACCAGUGGCGAAGGCGGCUUACUGGUCUGCAACCGACGCUAAGGCGCGAAAGCGUGGGGAGCAAACAGGAUUAGAUACCCUGGUAGUC